rnacentral:rRNA from 1 species
CCGACGGUGAGGGACGAAAGCUGGGGGAGCAAACCGGAUUAGAUACCCGGGUAGUCCCAGCUGUAAACGAUGCGCGUUAGGUGUGUCAGUGACCACGUGUCACUGAUGUGCCGAAGGGAAACCGUGAAACGCGCCGCCUGGGGAGUACGGUCGCAAGGCUGAAACUUAAAGGAAUUGGCGGGAGAGCACCACAACGGGUGGAGCCUGCGGUUUAAUCGGACUCAACGCCGGAAAUCUCACCGGAUAA